rnacentral:rRNA from 1 species
CAUGCAAGUCGAGCGGUAGCACAGAGAAGCUUGCUUCUUGGGUGACGAGCGGCGGACGGGUGAGUAAUGCAUAGGAAUCUGCCCGAUAGUGGGGGAUAACCUGGGGAAACCCAGGCUAAUACCGCAUACGUCCUACGGGAGAAAGGGGGCUCCGGCUCCCGCUAUUGGAUGAGCCUAUGUCGGAUUAGCUAGUUGGUGAGGUAAAGGCUCACCAAGGCGACGAUCCGUAGCUGGUCUGAGAGGAUGAUCAGCCACAUCGGGACUGAGACACGGCCCGAACUCCUACGGGAGGCAGCAGUGGGGAAUAUUGGACAAUGGGCGCAAGCCUGAUCCAGCCAUGCCGCGUGUGUGAAGAAGGCCUUCGGGUUGUAAAGCACUUUCAGCGAGGAAGAACGCCUAGCGGUUAAUACCCGCUAGGAAAGACAUCACUCGCAGAAGAAGCACCGGCUAACUCCGUGCCAGCAGCCGCGGUAAUACGGAGGGUGCGAGCGUUAAUCGGAAUUACUGGGCGUAAAGCGCGCGUAGGUGGCUUGAUAAGCCGGUUGUGAAAGCCCCGGGCUCAACCUGGGAACGGCAUCCGGAACUGUCAAGCUAGAGUGCAGGAGAGGAAGGUAGAAUUCCCGGUGUAGCGGUGAAAUGCGUAGAGAUCGGGAGGAAUACCAGUGGCGAAAGCGGCCUUCUGGACUGACACUGACACUGAGGUGCGAAAGCGUGGGUAGCAAACAGGAUUAGAUACCCUGGUAGUCCACGCCGUAAACGAUGUCGACCAGCCGUUGGGUGCCUAGCGCACUUUGUGGCGAAGUUAACGCGA